rnacentral:rRNA from 1 species
UACGUAGGGGGCGAGCGUUGUCCGGAGUUACUGGCGUAGAGGGUGAGUAGGCGGUUUGUUAAGUUGGAUGUGAAAUACCCGGGCUUAACUUGGGGGGUGCAUUCAAAACAGGCAGACUGGAGUAUCGGAGAGGAAAGCGGAAUUCCUGGUGUAGCGGUGAAAUGCGUAGAUAUCAGGAGGAACACCGGUGGCGAAGGCGGCUUUCUGGACGACAACUGACGCUGAGGCACGAAAGCGUGGGGAGCAAACA